GACGAACCGUGCGAACGUUGUUCGGAAUCACUGGGCUUGAAGGGCGCGUAGGCGGGCGACCAAGUCCGGGGUGAAAUCCCACGGCCCAACCGUGGAAGGGCCCCGGAUACUGGCCGCCUCGAGGGAGGUAGGGGCGUGUGGAACUUCCGGUGGAGCGGUGAAAUGCGUAGAGAUCGGAAGGAACGCCGGUGGCGAAAGCGACACGCUGGACCUCUUCUGACGCUGAGGCACGAAGGCCAGGGGAGCAAACGGG
rnacentral:rRNA from 1 species